rnacentral:rRNA from 1 species
GAUGAACGCUAGCGGCAGGCCUAAUACAUGCAAGUCGAGGGGCAGCGGGAGUAGCAAUACUUGCCGGCGACCGGCGCACGGGUGCGUAACACGUAUACAAUCUGCCCUUAACAGGGGGAUAGCCCGGAGAAAUCCGGAGUAAUACCACAUAAUACCAGGGAGGGCAUCCUUUUUGGUUGAAAGCUCCGGCGGUUACAGGUGGGUAUGCGUCUGAUUAGCUUGGUGGUGGGGUAACGGCUCACCAAGGCGACGAUCAGUAGGGGAUCUGAGAGGACUACCCCCCGCACGGAUACUGAGACACGGAUCCGACUCCUACGGGAGGCAGCAGUAAGGAAUAUUGGACAAUGCCCGCAAGGGUGAUCCAGCCAUGCCGCGUGCAGGAAGACGGCCCUAUGGGUUGUAAACUGCUUUUGUACCGGAGAAAACCUCCCCUCGUGAGGGGAGCUGAUAGUAUGGUAAGAAUAAGCAUCGGCUAACUUCGUGCCAGCCGCCGCCGUAACAG